AUUGAACGCUGUCGGCAGGCUUAACACAUGCAAGUCGAACGAGUGGCGGACGGGUGAGUAAUGUAUGGGUAUCUGCCUGAUGGAGGGGGAUAACUACUGGAAACGUUAGCUAAUACCGCAUACCAUCAGAUGAACCCAUAUGGGAUUAGCUGGUAGGUAAGGUAACGGCUUACCUAGGCGACGAUCCCUAGCUGGUCUGAGAGGAUGAUCAGCCACACUGGGACUGAGACACGGCCCAGACUCAUACGGGAGGCAGCAGUGGGGAAUAUGGCACAAUGGGCGAAAGCCUGAGGCAGCAAUGCCGCGUGUAUGAAGAAGGCCUUCGGGUUGUAAAGUACUUUUAUUAGGGAGGCGUUACCGACAGAAGAAGCACCGGCUAACUCCGUGCCAGCAGCCGCGGUAAUAC
rnacentral:rRNA from 1 species